ACACACUGACACGCACACACACACUGACACACACACACACUGACACACACACACACUGACACACACACACACACACACACACACACACACACACACACACACACACACACACACUGCUGUGAGGUGUCAGGGACGUCGUCAGGGAGACAAUAUGCAGCGAAGCAGCAGUUUUCAUAUUUCUGUCCAACACUCAAACUCAAACUUCGCUUCCCGACUCGUGUCCCUGAAACCAAACACGACUUCAUUCACCAAGGAAAACUUUUUCAGACAUGUCAGUGAUGCUGAUGAGUCAAUCGCCGUUCAACACUUCACACCUUCUACUGUACAAACGCUCUAGUCUCCAAUUGGUCCUGUAGGAAUAUUCAGUCUUGACGUAGCUCCUGAUAAUAACUCUUCUCUCGUUGCUCAGUAGGCGUCGGUCACUUACCAGUAGAAAUGUACCAUCUAUUAUCUGCUAUAAAAAACUGAAUUAUCAGAUUAGUUUUGGCCUCAGAGCCGCUCCCACCAGACUUCUCUGUCCAGUCUUUGCUAUUUAAAGGUAAAUAAUAAUCGUCAGAAAUGUCUGAAGCAACCGAACAAGUUUCAUUUGUGUAAAUAUAAUUACAGCUCUAUACUCACACGUCACAUGUUCCACACAAGCGGCCGGAUGAUGGACGGAGCUCCUGGGCAGCUGCAGUGAAACGAUGCCAGUGUUUGGCUGCUUUCUUCUUCAAAUGUAGAAUUACAAGUUUCUGUUUGGCAGAGAAAAUCUCACAAAAGUCAAAUCUUUGAUUUCCAAGAUUGGGCGGGAAAGAAGAUUUUAAUAAUUACAAACUCCCUCAGCGUUUUUCCAGCUCUCUUUAGUGUGAUUUCCUAAUGUCACGAAGAAUCACCUGGUGUGAUGGUAUCGUCUGUGACGGCACGAUGAAUCGCUCCUCGAGCUGCCGCGUCCAACAAACAAGUGAAGGUCUCAGAUCAGAACCCGUCGGCCACAGAGAGGACGUCACGGAUCAAAGACCUAUGAGAACUUAAAGUAUGCACAUGUGAGGCAUUGGACACUUUAGCGCUGCGUCUUCCUGCUGGAGUUCCAGUGCAGCUGCGUUGAUCUCGACCGCGCUCGUCGCCACUGACUCAGCUGACAGCAGCGAGCUACCAAGCUCCAUCCAAGGGGUUCCGUCGAGGGGAAGUCAGGGACACGAUCGUACACACUUUGCUGCUGGGAGACACGGACGAAGCUCAGCAGGAGGCUCUGAGCUCGCAGGUUGUUAACAGCGUCAGGAACAUGUCGGAGGGAGAAGAUGAGAAUGGGAAUAUCAACAUUUCCCUCAGAUGUAAAUUAUGACAAAGUCUAUUUCCAUCCAACGAAAAAUUGACUUUGUUGUUCAAACGUCGAGACGAUAUUUCAGACGGGACUCGGUCCUGGCGCGCCCCCUAGUGGACAUGGCUCUUUGGACAGUUUCUAAAAAGCUCAAUCUAAAGACGCUGGUCGUCGUGUUGUGUCCUGCGAGGAGCCGUACGGAGGCUGAAUGUAUGAAUAUUAAUAUCUGUCUUCAGCCUCUCUGAUACAAAGCGGUGAGGUUUUCUGAGGAUUUAAUCAUCGGUGCUUCUUCAACCGUUGUUGUUGGGUCUGUUAGUUUGUGUCCUGAAGAGCUGCAGGAGGCGUUGGAAUGAGGUCGGUCCAUCAGGAGCGGCAGCUGUGAUCUGUAAUAACAGAUGUUAUCAGUGUUUUCUCUGAUCUGAGCUCGGCGUCGGAAGAGAAACCCGUCCCGUCGGGAGGCCGAUACCCGCUGUUGAGUCGCAUGUCAGCCGCCGCUGUAUCCGAGGCCGGAGGUCGGCUUCUGCUUCCGUUUAGUUCCCAGACGUUUGUGUCGGUUGAAUCCUCGACACGUUGAAGCGAACCAGUGGAGCGGUCGCUGGUUCCGAUCCAGACGUGGUUCGGUGAAACCGCGAAGAGAAUGAGGUUGUGAAAAUUUGGAGGAAUACGAUGGAGAGGGUGAAAGUGACGAAGGAAGAAACCAGUGGAGGAGGAUGGAGUUCUGUGACGGCUGUUGUUUUCCUCGUGGCCGUUCACGUCCCAGGAGGUUUUGUAUGUUUGAAGUUGUUGAGUGAAGGAAGAACACGAGAGGUCGAACGCUCUGUCUGAUGCUCCCGAACCAGCCGGAAGCAGAAUAUUCAGCUCCGUCAGUGGGAACGGAACAAUGAGUUCAUCUCGUUGAGCAGCAUCACUUUACUUUCUUGCAAUAAAUGUCACGUUAAUGAAAACGUUGACAAAUCAGUGAAACCUCACGAUUGAUUUUAUUUCUUCUUUCUGAGUCGAACCAGUAGGUUUGAAAAUGUGAUGGAGACUUGAUGAUACGUGUGAUCGUGACCUGAUAUCUGAACUCGUAUAUAUCAAUUUUGAAUAGAUUGGCGAUGAUUCCUAAGAUGACGUUAACCUCAGGCUUGAUAUUUUACAGUUUAACCAUAAACUUCAUAAUAAAUCUAGAAUUAAGAAAACAAACAAGUUUUGGAAACAUUGGAUCUUUUCUGCGUCUCCUGCUGACGAAGGUUAGCGUCGGUCGAUGGUUAGCGUCGGUCGAUGGUUAGCGUCGGUCGAUGGUUAGCGUCGGUCACUAAAGCCUCGCGCAGCAUCAAGCAGCCGAUUGGUUGAAUGAUUGAGUCCAACUCCCCCUGUGGACGUUUGAAGCAUUUUUCCGAGCCGCCUGAAUACAAGAAACGUUCCUGUGAUAUUUUCCUCUGAUGUUUCAAUGAUCCUCCCGCUGAUGCUGCUUCAUCUCUAGUGUUUUCAUAUCUGUGCUGCGUUGACGCCUCGGCUUUUUAAUGCACAACUCCUGAUGUGAAAUCACAGAAUCACAGCUGUACUUGAAUCUGCAUGAAAUCUUAAUAUCAAGUUGUUGACCACUGGUGGAUGCUGGGAAAUAUCAAUCAAGUUGUUUCAUCAAGUGAAUCCUGAAAUCAGGCUCCUCCUGAUAACGGUGGGAAAUGUCGACUUGUUUGGAGUUGAUCACUUACUCUUACCAAUGUGUCAUAUCACCAUAUCAUAUAUUUUUGUACGUGUUAUGCAUCGCCUGUCGUCAGAUCGUUGCCUGGCAGAGAUUCAGACGUUGGGAGAUUUAUUCUCGUCACGUUUGUCCAGAUGACAACGAGAUGCUGAUUCUUAAUUCAUUUUCUUCUUCUUCUUCUUGUUGUUUACCAUGAAAUUGAUGGUUCAGGGUUUCAACGGGCUCGUGCAGCGAAUCAGUGUGGGAGAGAAUCACCAAUGAAAAGCAGGACCUGAUUAUUUUUUAUAGUAGAAUGUAUUAUGUUUCAAAUACGAUCAAAAGGUAAUUCAUGAUAUCAUCUACAGUCCGAUGACGUCAGUUAUUUUUCCAUAAUAAAAUAGCAUCUAGAUUUACUUUACUCUUUUUCUUUGCACCAGAAGUUGCAGCUUCGGUUCAGAAGACGUCGUCGUCGUCUCUGCGUUUCAAACAAAACCUUCUACAUGAUCACAGGACGAACUUCACCAGCAUGAACACAAACCUCGAAUUCAGAUUCACCAGCAUCAAAUCAAAUCAGAGUUCCCUGAGUACAAGUAGAAGUACUGCAAAUAAUAAUGAUGAUGAUGAUAAUAAUAAUAAUAAUAAUAAUAAUAAUAGGAGUGACAAAGUCCAUUAAAAGUGUUUUUCAAGCUACAAUCUAUAAAGUCAAUAGUUAAACUGCAGCAAAGUCAAAACUUUGUCAGUAUUUAUAUUUUAAAUUAUGCAAACGGCAAUUUUAAUGAAAAACUUUCUCCUUAUUAUAUGUUUUGUAGACGAGCUCCUUGAAAUAGGUUGAAAUCGGAAUUCUUUACAAUUUCACCACAUUCUGAAGAUAUUUCAUGAACAUCUGCGAUCACAGGAGACGAGUUAGUUAACGUAAGUAACUUUCAUUAACGUCAACUAGCGUUAAUGAAAGUUACUUAACGUAACUAACUUUCAUUAACGUCAACUAACGUUAGCUAACGCUGCAUCUGAAUCUGUCCUGAGCUGCAACUUCUGUUUAAAAAAGUGAAUUAGAGUAAAUUACCUCAGGAGAAAUUGUAGUUUUGCUGGAUCCAGAAAUCAAUAACGAGUAUAUUUAUAUAUCGGUUCGAUCAAUGGUUUGAAUUGAAGUGGACGUGUUACCACAUAUUAAUAAAAUAAAAUGCUGAGAAUCCCUUCACAAUAAAAUAGGACGUUGUUUUUGCACUUUGAUCGUCGUGUACUGGUACUACGACAAAAAUAAAUUAGCACAGAUGAGUGUUUGGUACAAACGGAUGAUUUGAGGUAUUUUGUUAUUAAUGUUCAGGUUGUGAAAUGUUGUUUUCAAGAAUCACUGUGUGAAACUAUUAAAAAAGUCCCUCUUGACCAGUGAUUGACGUCAGUGUUGAGUCUUAAAUCUGAAACGAAGACGAGUAGACAUCAGGAGACGAACGUGUCUCACUUCAGAUUCUGGACACAAGAAAAACUUUUCUUCACUUUUCAAGACAAACUUUUUUUUCAGUUUUGCAGCUGAAUUCUGCUUAAAAAUGACGCGAGCAACAAAAUAGAGUUGCAGAUGUUUUCUUACGUUGUCGAUGCAGCAGUUUUAUUUUUGUGCCAGUUUUAGAGAUGAAGUCGUCACGUCUGUGUUUCCGCCUCCACAGUGACGCUAGCGCUUGGUCUCCACACGCUGAUGAGUUUUACCACUAGGGGGCGCUGAGGCUCCGGCUGCCGGUUCAGGAAACGGACUCAGAUUUGAGAGCAGACAUUUUUAAAUGGUUCCACCUGAGCAAAACCAUUUAGCAUCUUUAGUUCCCAGAUACAUAUUAUUCUGCAUUGGAUGGUUCACUUGCUGCUUCCAGGCUUUAUUUCAUCAAGAAAGCGAUAAAACAUUCAUUUCAAAAAUCAAAUAAUGCGCUGUACGCUGUAACUGGCAACAAUAAAAACAGCUGCGUUGUAUCAUUUCAAAACAUGAAACAAACAACCAAUCAAUUUUUUUUUAUAUCUGAUUAAGCGGCAAAUUAUUUCAAAAAUCAAAAUUCCAUUGUUCCUCAGUUACUCGUGAAAUCUGAAAUCUGCCCUGAACCUCGGAGGCAGCGGAGCCUCAGCACUUUGGUACAGAGCCUCUGUUUAAUAGUGAACUGUGCAUUGAGAUUAAUGUUCAACAGACUCAAAUAAAAUGUUUCUAUCAAA